AAUAGAUACCCCGGUAGUCCACGCCGUAAACGAUGAGUGCUAAGUGUUAGAGGGUUUCCGCCCUUUAGUGCUGCAGCUAACGCAUUAAGCACUCCGCCUGGGGAGUACGGCCGCAAGGCUGAAACUCAAAGGAAUUGACGGGGGCCCGCACAAGCGGUGGAGCAUGUGGUUUAAUUCGAAGCAACGCGAAGAACCUUACCAGGUCUUGACAUCCUCUGACAACCCUAGAGAUAGGGCUUUCCCCUUCGGGGGACAGAGUGACAGGUGGUGCAUGGUUGUCGUCAGCUCGUGUCGUGAGAUGUUGGGUUAAGUCCCGCAACGAGCGCAACCCUUGAUCUUAGUUGCCAGCAUUCAGUUGGGCACUCUAAGGUGACUGCCGGUGACAAACCGGAGGAAGGUGGGGAUGACGUCAAAUCAUCAUGCCCCUUAUGACCUGGGCUACACACGUGCUACAAUGGAUGGUACAAAGGGCUGCAAACCUGCGAGGGUAAGCGAAUCCCAUAAAGCCAUUCUCAGUUCGGAUUGCAGG
rnacentral:rRNA from 1 species